UACGAAGGGGGCUAGCGUUGUUCGGAAUUACUGGGCGUAAAGCGCACGUAGGCGGAUCGGUCAGUUAGGGGUGAAAUCCCGGGGCUCAACCCUGGAACUGCCUUUAAUACUGCCGGUCUUGAGUUCGAGAGAGGUGAGUGGAAUUCCGAGUGUAGAGGUGAAAUUCGUAGAUAUUCGGAGGAACACCAGUGGCGAAGGCGGCUCACUGGCUCGAUACUGACGCUGAGGUGCGAAAGCGUGGGGAGCAAACAGG
rnacentral:rRNA from 1 species